rnacentral:miRNA from 1 species
CUGUAUAGAUUUCCACAGCUUUCUUGCCACUCAUCUGUUGUUGGGUACCUGGGUUGCUUCCAGAUUUUAGCUAUUAUGAAUUGUGCAGCUAUGAACAUAGGAGU